rnacentral:lncRNA from 1 species
UAGGCUUUGUAAUAUAUUUCCUUGUAGGUAAGAAGAUUUUUUUAGCAUUAUGUUGAUUGAUUUUCUAAUAGCAUAGUUAUAUUCGAGAACUUAUUGUAUGUCUGUACAACACACGUGAUAAUGGGAAGUGUCUUCUUUUUUGCGAAGAGAUGGCAAGUUUCCUUCCAUGUGUUUUGUUUUGCACUUCUCAAUCAUAGGCUUCGUUUGAUAAACUUUGUUUGAUCACAUCCAUUCUUUUUAGCUCUUUUAUUGUUACAUCUAUGCCAUUUGUUUUGUAUCGUUUUAUAAUUAUAUAAUAGAUUUUCAUGUUUACAUUUGUUGCAGUUCCCUUGUUUCUACUAUCUAUUCAUACCUACAAAUAUCAAAUUGUUUUGUAAAUAUGCUAGGUAUGAUUGUGUACUCGGCUACUUGGUGCUGCCAUCACAAUUUGGAUGACGUGAUAGUUUCCAUCAAGGUUUCCAUCACAAUUUGGAUGACGUGAUAGUUUCCCUCAAGGUUUCCAUCACAAUUUGGAUGACGUGAUAGUUUCCAUCAAGGUUUCCAUCGGGAGGGCCGACGACAAGAACUUCAAUAGUUUAAGUGUUUUGUUUGUUCGAACUGGAUUGCACUGUUUUCUAAAUUGUUGAGUGAUAUAUUUUUAUCAAUCUAGGUUGUAAAAUAUCAUUUCAUGGAUGAUUUUGUGAACUACUAUGUUGUAGAUACUUGCGGAUGACUACAUAUUGAUUCAUACGUGUACACAUGACACUUUGUAAAUACCUUUCCUUUGUCUAAAUUGUCACUACAAUUUGAGUAAUGCAUUAUGCUUAAAAAUGUACUUGGUGAAAAUUGGGUUGAAUGAAAU